rnacentral:lncRNA from 1 species
UUCAGGUUGGAAACUCGCAUAGAGGAAAAUGUAACCCAGGGCAAAGCCAAGCAGUGCCCCGAACCAUUCCUGCUGGGGAUGGAAAUACAGAGCAGAGAUACAAGAGAGAACACACGGAUGAUGUUUCAUCAAUUGUUUAAACUCCAGUGUUAAGAAGCUCCUCUGCUCAGCAGAGAGAACGUGAAGUCUGUUGAAAUCUAAAUAUGAGAUGCUGUUCCAUUGCUGCUGUUUUUAUUGGGAGGAGAAGCUGAGAAUCUCACAUCUUCUCCUGUCCUGUGAAAGUUUACUCCAGGCUGCAAAGCAUUUGAUUGUUUUCUUCCCUGCUGGUUCUGCCUUAGAAGAAAUCUCUGGGAAAAAAUGCAUCUAAAGGAGAGACCCAGAGAUGAGAAAGAUAUAACAGGUGGUGACAAUCAUUUUGGCUGUAAAAUAUUAUUUAUUCUAUUUUUAACAUGGUGCCCUUUCUGUUGUGCCUCUGUGUUAUCCAAAGAGUCUUCUGG